rnacentral:lncRNA from 1 species
AUGCCUUGGGGUCUUUCCCUGGAAAGAGAAUGGCCCCGGGUUUCUUUUUUUUUUUUUUCUUGUUUUUUUUUUUUUUUUUUUUUUUUUUUUGUUUUUCGAGAUAGGGUUUCUCUGUGUAGCUUUAGAGCCAAUCCUGGCAUUUGCUUUGUAGACCAGGCUGGCCUCGAACUCAGAGAUCCACCUGUCUCUGCCUCCCAAGUGCAGGGAUUAAAGGCAUGCACCACCAACACCCGGCAACAAAAUGCUUUUUUAAAGAAUGAGCUAGAUGUAAUUGAAAGGGGUAAACUAAACUAAAAGGCUUCACUUCUAGGAAUCAAGGGACCAGCCCUUGCUUUAGCAGCCAUGACAGGCUACAGAAAAGGCACGAAGGCCUGUAACACAAGGAAACUCCAGAUCCUCUGGCCUCCCAGACCUAGGCCCAAAACUGAACACAAAGAAACUCCAGACCUUCCCCCUACCCCCUCAGUCUCCGAGGUACUUGGUUCCUGGGAACUGUUUGGCUACAAAAGAAACUCCAGGGGAGACCAAAACCUCCCCUAUAGUCUCCAGGAUACAGUUCUGACAACUAUUGGUAUCUAUGAACAACAGGCCACCUACAAGUAACAAGACAAAGCCAUAGAAACCACAGAAUGUUCCCUCUCAUCACUGACCAAUGAGAGUACCUGGUACACAGGUAUUUCAUGCCAAAAUAUGACUUUGAGAAAUUUUCCAGAUUGUUCUGAAAUGUCAACCAAUCAGAAACCAACCCCUACCUACUGAUGCAAUCCUGUAACUUUUGUCUUUAUAACCUAGCAGUAGACAGGAAACUUCACCCCCUCUAGAAGCUGCUUUGUCAGCUUGCUAGACGGGGUCCCUCCCUCAGUAGGAUAGACAAUUUAAUAAACCUCGUGCAUUUCUAUCGGUGGUCUGUCUCCCUGGUCUCUUUGGGGAUCCUUAUGACUGCGGCACAACAGUAAUGUAUAUACCUUUAAUCCCAAAACUUAGAAGGUAGAGGCAGGAGGAUCUCUUUGAGUUCCAGGUAAGCCUGAUUUACAAAGCAAGUUCUAUGAUAGCUAGGGCUUCCUAAGUGAGAUCUUUUCUCAAAAACAGCAAAACAUGUCUGUUGAUGAUGGCAUAUGCCUUUAAUCCCAGCAUUCGGGAGGCAGAGGCAGGCAGAUCUCUGUGAGCUUGAGGCCAGCCUGGUCUACAGAGCGAGUUCCAGGACAGGCUUCAAAGCUACAGUGAAACCCUGUCUCAAAAAAAGGGCUGGAGAGAUGGCUUAAGAAUAGUGGCUAAGCCAGGUGUUGGUAGUGCACGCUUUUAAUCCCAGCACUCGGGAGGCAGAGGCAGUCUGAUCUCUGUGAGUUCGAG